CUUUGCAACCUCCUGCUCUGGUUUAGGAACAGUCUGCUCCUUUGCAGUGAGGAUCAUCUCAAUGUGGCCGGGAGAGCUCGUGUAUGGGAUAGCAAGAGCACA